rnacentral:rRNA from 1 species
UACGGGGGGGGCAAGCGUUGUUCGGAAUUACUGGGCGUAAAGGGCUCGUAGGUGGCCAACUAAGUCAGACGUGAAAUCCCUCGGCUUAACCGGGGAACUGCGUCUGAUACUGGAUGGCUUGAGUUCGGGAGAGGGAUGCGGAAUUCCAGGUGUAGCGGUGAAAUGCGUAGAUAUCUGGAGGAACACCGGUGGCGAAGGCGGCAUCCUGGACCGACACCGACGCUGAGGAGCGAAAGCCAGGGGAGCAAAACGGGG